GACGAACGCUGGCGGCGUGCUUAACACAUGCAAGUCGUACGGUAAGGCCCUUUCGGGGGUACACGAGUGGCGAACGGGUGAGUAACACGGGGGUAACCUGCCCACAACUUUGGGAUAACGCUAGGAAACUGGGGAUAAUACUGGAUAUGUGACCCUGCUGCAGGGUGGGGGAUGGGAAGCUCUGGGGGUUGUGGAUGGACUCGCGGCCUAUUGGCUUGUUUGUGGGGUAGUGGCCGACCGAGGGGGCGACGGGUGGCCUCCCUGAGAGGGUGAGCGGCAACACUGGGUCGGAGAUGAGGCACAGACUCCUACGCGAGGCAGCAGUGCGGAAGAUUGUACAAUGGGCGCGAGCCUGAUGCAGCAACGCCGCGCGCGGGAUAACGGCCUUCUGGUUGUAAACCACUUUCAGCAUAGAAGAAGCUUUUUGUGACGGUACCUAAAGAAGAAGCACCGGCUAACUACGUG
rnacentral:rRNA from 1 species